rnacentral:tRNA from 1 species
GCGGCCGCGGGAUGGGCGUUCGGCUCGUUCACGGCGGGCCUGACGGGGGUGCUGCUGGCCCCGUACGUGCGUCUCGACCCGUACGGGCUGCC